AUGGGGAGGACACAUGGGUUCACCUGUACCCCUGCAGGGCCCUGUGGCCCCUUCUCCCUUUACUGCAGGCUCUUGGGUAUAUGUAGCUUCCAUUGCUUGCCAUUGUUUCCUCCUUGCAGGGGAUUCGUGGUGGUCGGGGCAUUGGCAUCACCCUAUGGAACAGCCCUUGUGAUGCAAGGCUUGGGAGGGAGCUCCUCCCAUUGGUCUGAACUGGGGAAGGCCCAGCUCCCACCUCGUGCUGGGUGUCCCAGUCGCUGGGUGACCAUCCUCAGACCCAGCGCUGUCACCAGGAGCAGAGCAUCGCCCUUCACACACCAUUACUCCUCACCCCCAGAGCCUUUUCAUCUCUUAUCAGCCGUGACCCUCGGGCUCUGUUAUCUCCCCCCAGCCAUCCACCGAAGCCUUAGAGCUGUCAGCAUGGGGAAUGACCUUCACCUCCUCACUCACCUCCAGGAGAUGCUGUGUCCGCUCGGCCGGGCGCAUGGUUGGCUGCAGCAGCACUGCCUGCUGCCCGGAGCCAGGCGGGCAGCCCUGCAGAUGAAGAUGUCUCCUGAGCAGCACGUUGGACCUGAACGCGUGUUUGCGUGGUUCCCCUGCCACCAGCACAACGGGAGCUACACGGCGGCCAGCCAUGCAGAGCCAACAAGAAAAGCCUGCUGAAGAAAGGCACCGGCGAUGACAAUACCCGUUUGCAGGACGGAUUAAAGCUCAGAGCAGCGUCUGGGCUUUGUGCAGGGGCGGCUCUGAGCACGAAGCGUGGUGGCAGGAGGCUACAAAAGCCGGGAUCCCACACAGCCCCAUUGUCAGCAGUGCUAACCCAGCCCAUGCAAGGCUCAGUCCCCAUCGCUGCCAGGACCUGCUGCCCUGCCCUCUCCCAGUGCCCUGCUCGUGCCACCUUGCCUCCCUGCUGCUCAGCCCCAUGCUGAGUGGAACCCACCCCCCUGUGCCAAGUGUUAAAUACUUAUCAAGCUAAUACAGCGUCUUCGCGGAGGUGCGUACAUGAGACAACAUGUUACCGUAAUUAACAAGCAGCUGGAGUUGGCAUCGUGCUGCAGCUGCUGGCGGCGGCUCCCAGUGCCUUUCCCAGGGCUGCAGCUCUGCCCCAUCCAACAGCAGGGGAAUGCUGAGGCGGGGGGAAUGCCUUGCAGGUCCCUUUCUACCACGCAGGAGGUGGUGAUGGCUUUCAGCCUGGGAUCUGCAUAGCCAUGGAGGUCUGGGACUAUUUCUGGGUUGGGUAAAUGGGUCCAUUCCCAGCAGGCAAAUGCUUACACAAGGGGUGAGGAGCCGUUGUGGGGGGCACUGAGUUGGGAGCUGUAUGGAAUCCUGCUGCUGGAGUCUCUGGGGGUGGUGGCUUGUCCACCUGGCCAUGGAAUCACAGUGCUGGGGCAGUGAUGGUCAAGUGCCACUGGAUCUGUGUGAUAGGUGUCAGGGACCAGUGGUGGCACCGGUGCUGGAGAGAACUUGGGAGAAAGAGAGAGUGGCUGUGAUGGGACUGUAAACCCAGCCCUGGGGAUGAAGGUGGCAGAGUGGGGUUGGUGGGGGUCAUUUAUUUGGUCAGACUUACUGAGAUGAUGUAGAUCCAUCCCUCUGCUCAGCCCUAUGCAGAUCUGCUGCACAAAACCUCCCCAUCCUUUUGAAUUGCCUUGAGCUCCCUAGCUUUCCAGCCCCAGAGAAGUCAUCUCAGCAGUUGAUGUUUGUAUGAUGACCUACAUUGCUAUUGGGUUUUAAAUAUAUAUAUUUUUACUGCACUGUAUGCUAGCUUCCCACAUGCAAAUUGCUCUGAGUGAGCCAUUUAUCUGGAAAAUAAAGGUUAUGUUCUCAAAAGGCA
rnacentral:lncRNA from 1 species